AGUGAACGCUGGCGGUAGGCCUAACACAUGCCAGUCGAACGGCAGCACAGUAAGCGCUUGCUCUUACGGGUGGCGAGUGGCGGACGGGUGAGGCAUACAUCGGAAUCUACUUUUUCGUGGGGGAUAACGUAGGGAAACUUCCGCUAAUACCGCAUACGUCCUACGGGUGAAAGCAGUAGAUCUUCGCACCUUGCCUGAUUCUAUGAGCCGAUGUCGGAUUAGCUAGUUGGCGGGGUAAAGGCCCACCAAGGCGACGAUCCGUAGCUGGUCUGAGAGGAUGAUCAGCCACACUGGAACUGAGACACGGUCCAGACUCCUACGGGAGGCAGCAGUAGGGAAUAUUGGACAAUGGGCGCAAGCCUGAUCCAGCCAUACCGCGUGGGUGAAGAAGGCCUUCGGGUUGUAAAGCCCUUUUGUUGGGAAAGAAAAGAAGCAGGUUAAUACCCGGAUGUUCUGACGGUACCCAAAGAAUAAGCAACGGCUAACUUCGUG
rnacentral:rRNA from 1 species